rnacentral:lncRNA from 1 species
AUACAAAGUUCAAUAGUUGACAUAGUUGACUGAAUCUCUCAUACAACUGCAAUUUAGGUAGCUACCUUCAACCUCCCACAAAAGGAAAGCUGCAUUCAAAGUGCUGUGAAAAGUUUCUACAGGAGGAGUCAAAUCAAAUAUAACAAAACUUUAUUGCUUCAUCAGCAAGAACAGGGACAUUAACAGUAGCACAGAGUUCGCAUUUCUCUUCUUCCUUAACAAAGAAUAUAAAAUUUAAUUGGGUGGCUAUGCAGUCAAAGCCUCAACAGGGGAACUGGAAAGUCCCACCACUUCAUUGCUGACCUCUAGCUUAGAGUCAACUGUUUCACUUUCAGUCUUAUUAGUACAAGAGCACACAUGUAAUACAGUUGGUUCCAUACCAGGGAUUUUGUGACAAGAGUUCAGGUUCUUUGUCAACUUGUUUCAGAUUAAGAUUUGCACCUCCUAUAAUAUGGUAACAGUAUUCAUUUGAAUAAGAAACAUGUUAGAGAAGAAUAAGGGUGCAAGUCAAUU